GACCCUCGCCCUAUUAUUACAAGUCUCCACCUCCACUAUCACCAAAACCUGCACCUGUGUACUAUAAUAAAUCACCACCACCCCCAUCACUAUCGCCUCCACCUCCUUACUAUUACAAAUCUCCUCCACCAACAUCGCCUUCUCCUCCUCAUUCAUAUUACUACAAGUCGCCACCACCCCCAUCACCAUCAUCUCCACCACCAUAUUACUAUAAGUCACCACCACCACAAUUCCCAUCAC
rnacentral:lncRNA from 1 species